rnacentral:rRNA from 1 species
UACGAAGGUGGCAAGCGUUGUUCGGAUUUACUGGGCGUACAGGGAGCGUAGGCGGUUGGAUAAGCCCUCCGUGAAAUCUCCAGGCUUAACCUGGAAAGGUCAGCCGAUACUGCGGGGCUAGAGUGCAGAAGGGGCAACUGGAAUUCUCGGUGUAGCGGUGAAAUGCGUAGAUAUCGAGAGGAACACCUGCGGCGAAGGCGGGUUGCUGGGCUGACACUGACGCUGAGGCGCGAAAGCUAGGGGAGCGAACGGG